AUGCCACUCUCCAGUCUACUGCGGGUGUUCGUGGCCUUCAUCUACUCUGGAUCCAUUUUGGCCCAGAGUGUUACUCAAGUCCAGUCAGCUACAUCCAUGCAAGAGGGGGCAGCUGUCACUCUGGACUGUCAAUAUAAAACGAGUUGGAAGCUUUAUUACAUUAUCUGGUACAGACAACUUCCCAGUGGCAAGAUAAUGAUGCUUAUUUUUCAAUAUUCUGAGAAUGUGAAUGCAAAGCAUGGUCGCUUUUCUAUAAACUUCCAGAAAGAAGCUAAAUCUAUCAGCCUCGUCAUUUCAGACUUACAGCUGGAAGAUUCAGCAAGAUACUUCUGUGUGCUCUUGGAACUCACUGUGUUUGAAGUGAUAGUGAAAGCUGAACAAAAACCUCAGGACUCAAUAACAGAGAGCUCCCCACUACAGUGUCAGAGCUGCAAUGCACACCUGCAGAUCCCAGACAAGAAAUGGCAGAGACUGUGGUUGUUUAAUAUGUGGUGUGGUCAGAGGAUUGUAUGCUAA